rnacentral:rRNA from 1 species
GACGAACGCUGGCGGCGUGCUUAACACAUGCAAGUCGAACGGAAAGGCCCUGCUUUUGUGGGGUGCUCGAGUGGCGAACGGGUGAGUAACACGUGAGUAACCUGCCCUUGACUUUGGGAUAACUUCAGGAAACUGGGGCUAAUACCGGAUAGGAGCUCCUGCUGCAUGGUGGGGGUUGGAAAGUUUCGGCGGUUGGGGAUGGACUCGCGGCUUAUCAGCUUGUUGGUGGGGUAGUGGCUUACCAAGGCUUUGACGGGUAGCCGGCCUGAGAGGGUGACGGCCACAUUGGGACUGAGAUACGGCCCAGACUCCUACGGGAGGCAGCAGUGGGGAAUAUUGCACAAUGGGCGGAAGCCUGAUGCAGCAACGCCGCGUGCGGGAUGACGGCCUUCGGGUUGUAAACCGCUUUCGCCUGUGACGAAGCGUGAGUGACGGUAAUGGGUAAAGAAGCACCGGCUAACUACGUG